rnacentral:lncRNA from 1 species
AACUGUAGAAAAAGCAAUGUAAUGAUUCAGAGACACUUUUGAAUGACUUACAAGACAAGUAAAGACAUUUCGAAAGGUUUUAUGCAAGAAAAACAUAGGUAAAAUUGUGAUUGAAAAUACUGCGAGGCAGAGACAAAUUGAACUAUGCAGUUGAAAUUUGAUAAUUGACAAGGUUUGAAAUGAAAUUGGACCUUGUAUUUUUAGGUCCAAAAACAGGGUAUAACA